rfam:Ricinus communis cultivar Hale ctg_1100012360839, whole genome shotgun sequence.
GUAUCCAUGAUGUGAGCAUUGUAAUAAAAGUGAUUUGAAGUGAUCUCAUACUUCAUGAAAGGAUUCAGUAUCCUUUUGAUAAAAGUCAGAGAUUUCAGCCCUUAAUUC